ACAAUGGGCACCCAGCUCUAAAAUGACAACCCAGUUUAAUGGGAUGGAGGAGCUUGGGAGGGAUGUGUGCUUUGUGUGCUUGGAAUUGGUUCCUUCAAAUGAAUCCUUGCUGAACUCAAACUGCAAAUAUCUCAACUGGAUCUUGUUUACUUCAUCAGAAAUCUCCAGGUCCCUGCGCUUUUAACACACACAUAUCCAGUAGAAGCAGAAGAGAACCUGGCUCUGUUUCAAAGCGUGAGUGCAUCUCUAUCCAUGUCGGCCAGGCUGGUGUCCAGAUUGGCAAUGCCUGCUGGGAGCUUUACUGUUUGGAACAUGGCAUCCAGCCUGAUGGCCAAAUGCCAAGUGACAAGACCAUUGGGGUAGCAGAUGACUCCUUCAAUACCUUCUUCAGUGAGACGGGCGCUGGCAAGCAUGUUCCCAGGGCAGUGUUUGUAGACCUGGAACCCACAGUCAUUGAUGAAGUUCGGACUGGCACCUACCGCCAACUCUUCCACCCUGAGCAGCUCAUCACAGGCAAGGAAGAUGCUGCCAACAACUAUGCCCGGGGGCACUAUACCAUUGGCAAGGAGAUCAUUGACCUUGUCUUGGACAGAAUUCGCAAGCUGGCUGACCAGUGCACAGGUCUUCAGGGCUUCUUGGUUUUCCACAGCUUUGGUGGAGGAACCGGUUCUGGGUUUACCUCUUUGCUGAUGGAACGCCUCUCUGUAGAUUAUGGCAAGAAGUCCAAGCUGGAGUUCUCCAUUUACCCCGCCCCCCAGGUUUCCACAGCUGUAGUUGAGCCCUACAACUCCAUCCUCACCACCCACACCACCCUGGAGCACUCAGAUUGUGCCUUCAUGGUAGACAAUGAGGCCAUCUAUGACAUCUGUCGCAGAAACCUUGAUAUUGAGCGCCCGACCUACACCAACCUUAAUCGCCUUAUUAGCCAGAUUGUGUCCUCCAUCACUGCUUCCCUCAGAUUUGAUGGUGCCCUGAAUGUCGAUCUGACAGAAUUCCAGACCAACUUGGUGCCCUAUCCUCGUAUCCACUUCCCUCUGGCCACAUAUGCUCCUGUCAUCUCUGCUGAGAAAGCUUACCAUGAACAGCUUUCUGUAGCAGAGAUUACCAAUGCUUGCUUUGAGCCAGCUAACCAGAUGGUGAAAUGUGACCCUCGCCAUGGUAAAUACAUGGCUUGCUGCCUGUUGUACCGUGGUGAUGUGGUUCCCAAAGAUGUCAAUGCUGCCAUUGCCACUAUCAAGACCAAGCGUACCAUCCAGUUUGUGGAUUGGUGUCCCACUGGCUUUAAGGUUGGCAUUAAUUACCAGCCUCCUACUGUGGUACCUGGUGGAGACCUGGCCAAGGUUCAGCGAGCUGUGUGCAUGCUGAGCAACACCACAGCUGUUGCUGAGGCCUGGGCUCGCCUGGACCACAAGUUUGACCUGAUGUAUGCCAAGCGUGCCUUUGUUCACUGGUACGUGGGUGAGGGGAUGGAGGAAGGAGAGUUUUCUGAGGCCCGUGAGGACAUGGCUGCCCUUGAGAAGGAUUAUGAGGAGGUUGGAGCAGAUAGUGCUGAAGGAGAGGAUGAGGGUGAAGAGUAUUAAUCUGUCUGCUGCAAUUGUACACUCCGUUGUUUUGGGACUCUUAUUUCUGUUGUCCUGUAAAACUGUCCUGUGGCCCUUUAAUGUCAAUAAAAGUGAUGUUUCAUUUUUAAA